CAGAGGUUCGAAGGCGAUCAGAUACCGCCCUAGUUCUGACCGUAAACGAUGCCACCUGAGAUCCGCCAGGGUUACUACCAUGACUCGGCGGGCAGUCCCCGGGAAACCCAAGCCUUCGGGUUCCGGGGGAAGUAUGGUUGCAAAGCUGAAACUUAAAGGAAUUGACGGAAGGGCACCACCAGGAGUGGAGCCUGCGGCUUAAUUUGACUCAACACGGGGAACCUCACCCGGCCCGGACACCGCGAGGAUUGACAGAUUGAGAGCUCUUUCUCGAUUCGGUGGGUGGUGGUGCAUGGCCGUUCUUAGUUGGUGGAGCGAUUUGUCUGGUUAAUUCCGAUAACGAACGAGACUCUAGCCGGUUAAGUAGCCCGAGCGGUUUUUGAUCUUUGCCGUUCAUCCCCGUUCGACCUCU
rnacentral:rRNA from 1 species